rnacentral:tRNA from 1 species
AUUCUGGUGGUGGAAUUGGUAGACACAUUAGCUUUAGAAUCUAAAAUUUAUGGGUUCGAGUCCCAUCUAGAAUA